AAAAAUUCCAUUGUGUUUAUAUUGAGAAACAGAGAAGUUUUAAGAAACAAUUCUCUUGACAAUAGAAUCUUAAAACUUCAAACAUCUAGAAAUAAAUACAAUAAAAUAUGGGAAAGACUUCUAUGCUAAAAAUUACAAAACUUUGCUGAGAUAAAUUAAGUGGAGAGAUAGGACAUGUCAUGGAUAGGAAGACUCAACAUUGUUAAGAUAUCAAUUCUCUCCUAAAUUAGCACACAGAAUUAAUGUACUUCUAUUCCAAUUUUUGAUGUGUUCUUGAAGAACGUAUGAAAUGAACAACCUGAUUUUAAAUGUAUAUGGAUAUAAAAAGGUCUUAGAAGUACCAAGAUAAACUUGAAGAGAAGCUACAAUCUGGAGUACUCUUUUACUGAUCUCAAGAUCUAUUUUCAAGCUGCGGUUUUAGCACAGUGUGCUAUCAAUACACAUCUGGCAAACAGACCAAUGGGUCGGAGCAAAGUCCAGAAGGAGACCAUCAUGUGUGUGGUCAUUUUAUACCAAAGGCAAGAGGAACGAUUAUUUCAAGAAGUCAUGUUAGAUUGAUUGGAACUCUGUAAUCUUCGUGUCAGUCAAAAUGGAUCUCACACAUAAACAUGUAAAAUAGAAUAAUUCAACUUCAGAAAAAAAAAAACCAGAAAAAUGCACUUCAGGAUACUGGGGGUAGAUUUCUUAAAGCUUAUGGACACCAAAACACUAUGCAUUUAAAAAAUGAUAGCCUGAGCCUCAUCAAAAUCACAAACUUCUCUUCAUCAAAUACUUCCUGAUUUCACUAAGUAAAUAGACUCCCCACAGACUUACAGAAAGUGUGUGCAAUCAAUAUAUUUGACAAAGGACUCACAUUUGGAAUAUAUAUAAAUGCCUACAAAUCAAUGAAAAGACAAUACAUAAAAGAUUUGAAGAAGUGUUUUACAAAAGGUUUACCUAAUUAGCCAAAAAGCGUGUGAAGAGGGCCAUUGCUCAUGUAGGAAAUGCAAGUUCAAUUCAAAAUGGGUUGCUGCUAAACAACCACCAGAAGCACUGACCUUAAAAUGACCCUCAGUAUGUGGGAGAAUGAAAAGCAAGUCAGACUCUGGCUUAGCCACAUUGCAAAGCUGUUUCUUACAUCUGGUGAAGCUCAACACUCAGAACCCUGCAUUUCCAUUGUAGAGUAUGUACCAAGGGGAUCAAGUGUCAUGUCCACAAGGGACAUGAACAAGAACUUCAUAGCAACUUUACCCACUGCAUACAAAACCUGCAAGUCACCCCAAAGUCCAGCAACCGAGUGGAUGAAUCAAUUGGCAUCUUGCCUGUGUGCUGUAUAUUUAUACACAGGAUAACAGAAACAAGCCAAACCUCUAAUAUAUGCAACGACCUAGAUAAAUCUCAAAGGCAUUAUGUUGAGCAAAAGAAGCCAGAAACAUAAUAGUACACACUGCAUAAUACUGUUUAUAUGAAGUUGAAGAACAGGCAAAACUAGCCUAUGCUGGUAGAGGUUUGGCACAAUGUACUGAAGCAAAAUAUCUUCAUAUGCUCUGAUCAAGCAAUUCCAAGCCUAGGGGUACACCCCACAGAAACUGUCAGAAGAGCAUCAUUUGUGACAGCCCCAAAUUGGAAUCAACCCAAUUUUUCAUCAGCAAAUACAUUUGUGGUGGUUCUACAAGCCAUCUGUGUAGACCAGUACACAGCAAGGAAAAUCAAUAAUAGAUCUGCACCAAAAUAAACUAAUUCCACAAACAUCACACUGACACAAAAGACAGUACCCUGAGAUUCCAUUUAUAUAUGACAGAAAUAAUCUAAAGCAAACUAUGGUGUUUAAGAACGAGGGCUCGGGCAGUAAAAACUAUUUUUAAAAAGCAAGGAAAUUAUUCUUGUAAAGCAGGAAAGUGGUGGUCAGUCCUGGGAGGUCUGGAGGUGGCUACAGGGAGGUCUAGGAGGUCUUGGGGUGCAAACAGCAUUCUGUCCUCACCUAGGGUGGUCACACAGGAGCAUGCUUUUGUGUGAAAUCAGUGAUCUAUAUUUUUUAUGUGUACUUUUCUGUAUGUAAUAUUUCACAACAAAAAGUUUCGAAGAAAAAAUACCAUAGACAGCUUUCCAUGCCAAUAAAGUUUUACAAAGAAG
rnacentral:lncRNA from 1 species